rnacentral:rRNA from 1 species
GAUGAACGCUGGCGGCGUGCUUAACACAUGCAAGUCGAACGGGAAACCUUUUAAUGAAGCUUCGGCAGAUUUAGCUGGUUUCUAGUGGCGGACGGGUGAGUAACGCGUGGGUAACCUGCUUUCUACAGGGGGAUAACAGUCAGAAAUGACUGCUAAUACCGCAUAAGCGCACAGGACCGCAUGGUCCGGUGUGAAAAACUCCGGUGGCAUAAGAUGGACCCGCGUUGGAUUAGCUUGUUGGCGGGGUAUCGGCCCACCAAGGCGGCGAUCCAGAGCCGGCCUGAGAGGGUGAACGGCGACAUUGAGACAGGGACACGGCCCAGACGCGUAGGAGAGGUAGGAGUGAGGAAACAUGCACAGUGAGGGAAACGCUGAUGCAGCGAGGGCGGGAGAAGGGAGAAGUAUCUCGAUAUGUAUACUGCUAGCAGCAGGGAAGGUAGUAACGUAACCGGACUAAGAGGCCCCGGCAAACUACGG